rnacentral:tRNA from 1 species
GGGACGUGGCGGAAUCGGUAGACGCGCCGGACUUAAAAUCCGUUGGAGCAAUCCGUGUGGGUUCGAGUCCCACCGUCCC